AAUAGAAGAAUGGUAAAUAAAAUUUUUUCUCCUGAUUUUCAAUUUUUUCCUCCUUAAAAUAUUUAAAUCUAACUAAAAAUGUUAAAAAUCAGAAAUAAAAAUUUGAUUUGUCAUUCUCUUAUU
rfam:Gossypium hirsutum cultivar TM-1 chromosome 9, whole genome shotgun sequence